rnacentral:rRNA from 1 species
AAAUAUUAACUCACACCCAUCAACGCCCGGGUACUACGAGCCCCAGCUUAAAACCCAAAGGACUUGACGGUGUCCCAUCCACCUAGAGGAGCCUGUUCUAUAAUCGAUAAUCCCCGCUAAACCCAACCUUCUCUUGCAAUCAGCCUGUAUACCUCCGUCGUAAGCUUACCAUAUGAAUGACCUUAGUAAGCUAAAUGGUCACAAACCCCAAUACGUCAGGUCAAGGUGCAGCUCAUGAGAAGGCAAGAAAUGGGCUACAAUUUCUAAUCUAGAACAAACGAAACACUGCAUGAAACUCAGCUGUGAAGGCGGAUUUAGUAGUAAAAAGAAAAUAGCGUGUUCUUUUUAACUAGGCCCUGGGACGUGU